UGCAAUAGGGGUGUACUUUAUGUGUCUUAUCAAGGUUCUUUAGCUUCAUGAGUGCGUUCAAGGCCUUCCACCUACCCGUCCAUCCCUAUUCCACUCGACUUUCAGUACAUUGUGCUGCCUGGGCGAGUUCCACCAACCGCAUUGUCUUUCUUCUCUGUACUGUUGAAUGCGUAGUUUACGAACUGUUCAUAUUUGUUCGUGUGAUCGUGACGGAAUGAGAGACUUACCGAAUGUGUCCCACUGCGUGGUCAGGUACGCGUUUCCAAGGAUGACCCACAGGGUCAUGGCUACCUUGAUGCCACAGAUGAACUGCAGGGACUCUUCCAGUGAUUGUUUCUCUACUCGAGUGCUGGCUCGAAGAGGAGUUUCUCGAAGCGCAUCGCUGGAGCUUCGCAGAAGAUGUACAACAGAAAAACGUCCAGAGCACGACCGGUACGGACUUUUGCCAAGUCAUCUGGAAGUCAUGUAACUGAGGUGCAAUAUAUAAUAUAACCCACGAUACCGAAGUGGUUGGAGCUCGACUGCUACCUAGCUGCAUCAGCGACUGCCUUUCUAUGAAGAGUAUAGUAUUUCUUUAAAAGAUCUUCUU